UUUCCGUAGGUGAACCUGCGGAAGGAUCAUUAACGAGUUAGGGUCUUCUAGGCCCGACCUCCCAACCCUUUGUUUACUGAACCAUUGUUGCCUCGGUGGGUCCGUCUUACGACCGCCGGGGGAUCGCCGCGAGGCGCCCCCUGGCCAGCGCCCACCGAUAGCCCAACCUUUAAAACCCUUUGUGAACCGUGUCUUAUGUCUAAAUUUAUGAUUAAACAAUCAAAACAAAACUUUCAACAACGGAUCUCUUGGUUCUG
rnacentral:misc_RNA from 1 species